UAAUACGGAGGGUGCGAGCGUUGUCCGGAAUCACUGGGCGUAAAGGGCGCGUAGGUGGCUUUUCAAGCGCGCGGUGAAAGCCCGGGGCUCAACCCCGGGUCGGCCGUGCGGACUGGGAGGCUUGAGCACUGUAGGGGCGGGUGGAAUUCCGGGUGUAGCGGUGGAAUGCGUAGAGAUCCGGAAGAACACCGGUGGCGAAGGCGGCCCGCUGGGCAGGAAGGCUCGCAAGAGCCGGCUGACACUGAGGCGCGACAGCGUGGGGAGCAAACAGGAUUAGAUACCCUGGUAGUCCACGCCGUAAACGAUGGGCACUAGGUGCUUGGGGGAGCGACCCUCCGGGUGCCGGCGCUAACGCAUUAAGUGCCCCGCCUGGGGAGUACGGCCGCAAGGCUG
rnacentral:rRNA from 1 species